rnacentral:rRNA from 1 species
UCGAGAAUUUUGGGCAAUGGACGAAAGUCUGACCCAGCAAUGCCGCGUGCGGGAUGAAGGUCUUCGGAUUGUAAACCGCUGUCGAGGGGGACGAAAUAUGACGGUACCCCUGGAGGAAGCCACGGCUAACUACGUGCCAGCAGCCGCGGUAAUACGUAGGUGGCGAGCGUUGUUCGGAUUUAUUGGGCGUAAAGGGUCCGCAGGGGGUUGACUAAGUCUGACGUGAAAUCCCUGAGCUUAACUCAGGAACUGCGUUGGAGACUGGUCGACUAGAGUAUUGGAAAGGUAAUUGGAAUUCCAGGUGUAGCGGUGGAAUGCGUAGAUAUCUGGAAGAACAUCGAAAGCGAAGGCAGAUUACUGGACAAUCACUGACCCUCAGGGACGAAAGCAUGGGGAGCAAACAGG